UAACACUUCAUCACUGACACACACAACAAUCUUCAUCAACAUGACCUUCAUCAUCAUCUUCAUCUGGACUCUUUUAUACUGCUUUACACUACAAGGGUCUAGAGCAGCUCAGAUCACAGUCACUCAGACUCCUUCAGUGAAAACUGCCACACCAGGAGAAAAUGUUGUGAUGAGCUGCAAACUCAGUAAACAUUCAACCUGCGGCCCACCCUGUGUGGCCUGGUACUUGCAGAAACCUGGAGAAGCUCUUAAACUCCUGAUUUAUGAUGCAAGCAGCCGUCAGUCAGGAACUGCAUCUAGAUUCAGUGGCAGUGGAUCUCACAGUGAUUAUACUCUGACCAUCAGUGGAUUCCAGACUGAAGAUGCUGGACAUUAUUACUGUCAGAGUUACUACUGGAUGAACAGUAAAAAUGUGUUCACACAGUGA